AACGCUGGCGGCGUGCUACUACAUGUCAACUCGAACGCUUUUGUUUUCACCGGAGCUUGCUCCACCGAAAAUAAAAGAGUGGCGGACGGGUGAGUAACACGUGGGUAACCUGCCCUCAAGCGGGGGAUAACACUUGGAAACAGGUGCUAAUACCGCAUAACAAUCAGAGUCGCAUGAUUUUGAUUUGAAAGGCGCUUUUGCGUCACUUGAGGAUGGACCCGCGGUGCAUUAGCUAGUUGGUGAGGUAACGGCUCACCAAGGCCACGAUGCAUAGCCGACCUGAGAGGGUGAUCGGCCACACUGGGACUGAGACACGGCCCAGACUCCUACGGGAGGCAGCAGUAGGGAAUCUUCGGCAAUGGACGAAAGUCUGACCGAGCAACGCCGCGUGAGUGAAGAAGGUUUUCGGAUCGUAAAACUCUGUUGUUAGAGAAGAACAAGGGUGAGAGUAGAAUGUUCACCCCUUGACGGUAUCUAACCAGAAAGCCACGGCUAACUACGUGCCAGCAGCCGCAGGUAUACGUAGGUGGCAAGCGUUGUCCGGCAUUUAUUGGGCGUAAAGCGAGCGCAGGCGGUCUCUUAAGUCUGAUGUGAAAGCCCCCGGCUCAACCGGGGCAGGGUCAUUUGGAAACUGGGAGACUUGAGUGCAGAAGAGGAGAGUG
rnacentral:rRNA from 1 species